CAAACUUAUCCAUGGGAAAAGCAUUAGUCUUGCUAAUAUGGAAAUAAAAUAUACAAAAGCUUCAAUGAUGAAGAAAAAAAAGCUACUGCACGAUUUAAAACACUUGAAAAAACUGAGACUCAUUGUAUGUUGAAAUACAAAGUUGAUAAUGAUUUUCAUGAUCAGUAUAUGAUAAAGAUAUGUAACAAGAAGUAUGGCUAAAAUAUUUGAUGUGCUAAUGCAAUUAAUCAACCAACAAUCUCAAAAAUGGGUCUAAACAAAUGACUAAAUUAGUUUGUCAUUGGAGUCAAGAUCAUUUUUAAGUCUAUUGCAUCAUCAAAUUCAUCCAUUGGAAAAGCAUUAGUCUUGCUAAUGUAUUUGAAAUAAAAUAUAGCUAUGACAAGCUUCAAUAGAGAUACUGCACUAUUUAAAACAAUUGAGACUGUUUUUGUGCUGAAAUAUAACAUGCAAAAUACCAAGUGAAUGAUGUUAAUGUUAAAAGUGUUAUAAGGUACGUGGACUUUAGUUUGUCUUACCAAGUGCUUUGAAAAUUAAGUGAAAUGUUUAUAAACCAUUUGAUAGUUUAACGAUCAUGAAAUACUGGUACACUUAAGCCACCAACAAAAUGCAUCAAGACCAUCCACAUGACAUAAUGCUUCAACAAUGAUGAAUCUCUGAUAAUGAAAACUUAUUCCUUAAUUAUUAUAAAGUUCAACUUCAAUUGGAUCUAAAAAUAAUUAAGUUGAAAUGAAUCUCAACACUUAAUUAAUUAUUUAAUAUGAUUUUAUCAGAAAACUUUACCUUUUUUUCAACUACAAAAUUGAAGACUAUGACAUGGUGCUGGUGUUAUUGAUUUAAUGCUCUUUUAAAUGUACCACUUACUGUUGUUAUUGGUGAACAUUUACUUGUUUUUGUUGAGCUUUAUUGACAUUUUCUUUGAUGUGGGCCGCUGUUGUUGCUUACAAUUGAACUAUCUGUUGCUCUUUAGAGUUUUAAGAAAAAUAUGCCUCUACUAGAAAGAAUGCUAAAAAUUUUAUG